rnacentral:lncRNA from 1 species
CAACAACAAUUAACAAGACAUUACACAUAAAACUAAAGAUUGAGCAACAUAAGCCCCCUUUUCAAAAGUGGGGGUAAACUCAUUGGACCAGGUAGGAAAAGUACUCCCUGCUUUUUCCUCAUGCAGUAAAAGGGAAGAUAACUGCAUUUGAUAAUGUCAAAAUCACAUCAAUAUAAACAUUAUUGGCUUCAUAUAAAAAACAAUAGAAACUAAUAAACUAUAAACACAUAUAAAUUAUUGAA